GGGGACCCAGGAGAGAGGCCGGCGCAAGUUGGGUGACAGCUCUGGGGGUCCGGAGGCGGCCCAGGGCUCCAGGACCCGCUUCCGCUCCAGGGCCCCGCCCGGAUGACUCCUGAACAGGCCACGAGGGUGGGGAGGGACCCACAGCCUCCGCCCCGCGGGGAGGCGGCGGCCGGCAGGAGUGAGGUGGCCAAAAGGGACGCUUGUGGGGGGACGUGGCGGGGAGGGGGGUGGGUGCCCGAGGUGGGAGAGUGUGUGGGAUUGGCGCAGCGGGAUCCGCACCUCUGCCCCGCGGCUUUACAAAGCCCACACAGCAGCCCCGCAGCCAGGCCGACCGAAAGCCACCGCCUGAGCCUCCAGUGUUCCCAGGUAGCCUCUGCACACCGCGGGGCGGGAUCGCGCGGCAGGUUUUAUAACAAUCAAGAAGCACAUGAAAGAAGCCUCUUUCAUCAAGUAUUCUUAAGUUAUGAAAAUGGAAUUGAAGCUUCUGUUCCUCCUUCGUGUGCUCUGAAGCUUGAAAAAGCUACUAAAGUUAGAAGAGUGGAAGCAAAGGAACAGGCUAGAUGGAAGGAGGAGCCAGGAAGAGGAGGAUCCAUUGCAGUCGGCCCAGAGUCUACAAUCAAAACGCAUAGCAAGGCCAGAUGCUGGGAAAGGCACACAGGGCACUAUUUGGAA
rnacentral:lncRNA from 1 species